rnacentral:pre_miRNA from 1 species
AUGGUACUCUCUCCGUUCCGAAUUACUUGUCGCAGGUAUGGAUGUAUCUAAAUGUAUUUUAGUUGUAGAUACAUCCAUUUCUAUGACGAGUAAUUUGGAACGAAUGGAGUAGCUA